ACGAACGCUGGCGGCAGGCUUAACACAUGCACGUCGAGCGCCCCGCAAGGGGAGCGGCAGCCGGGUGAGUAACGCGUGGGAACGUACCUUUUGGUUCGGAACAACUCCGGGAAACUGGAGCUAAUACCGGAUAAGCCCUAACGGGGAAAGAUUUAUCGCCGAAAGAUCGGCCCGCGUCUGAUUAGCUAGUUGGUGAGGUAACGGCUCACCAAGGCGACGAUCAGUAGCUGGUCUGAGAGGAUGAUCAGCCACACUGGGACUGAGACACGGCCCAGACUCCUACGGGAGGCAGCAGUGGGGAAUAUUGGACAAUGGGCGCAAGCCUGAUCCAGCCAUGCCGCGUGAGUGAUGAAGGCCUUAGGGUUGUAAAGCUCUUUUGUCCGGGAAGAUAAUGACUGUACCGGAAGAAUAAGCCCCGGCUAACUUCGUG
rnacentral:rRNA from 1 species